rnacentral:lncRNA from 1 species
ACAAGUUUGUUAUUAAUAUUAUUAAUUCAAAAAAGAUAUAUACCAUUUUAGUCUUAAAUUUUGAAAAAGAAUGGGUUUGGUCUACAAUGUUUAGAACACAUCUCUUUAGUCUUUAGUCUUUGGGUUUGUAAGAAUAUAUUCAUUUGGUGUCAAGCUUUUUAAUAAAAAUACUUCCAUGACCUUUGUUUUGAAGUCCAUUUUUAAAAAUUAAAAAGUAAAGAAAAGGAACCUUUUGAAAAAUAAUGAUAAAAGGAGUCAAUUAUCCAAUACAUUUUGAAAACCCACAUUUUUGUUUUAUAGGUAAUAAAUGAGUUGAGGAGGAGAGGGCCAUAUUGUUGGAUGCUAAAUGCUAAAACUGCAUGAUUGAUUGAUUUAUUAUUUAAGGGCAAUUUCUCCAUUCAACUAUCCAUAAAUCCACAAAUCCUUUUAAAUAUUCUAUAAACAAUCAAUUUUCAAUCUAAAAAUCAAAUCUUAACUAUUAAUUGACAAUUUUUCAUAAACAUAAAACAACCCUCCCUAUUUUUUCAAGAAAAGUAUUCAACUUUUGCUCUCCCUUUCCAUUUCUUUCAUAUGCAAUUUCUUGUUUACUUUUUCUUUUUUUUUUCCAUUUCCUAGAUUAAGCAUUUAGUUUUUAAAAAUUUAUACUUAUUUCUUCUCAAUUUGAUUUUCAUUUUUUCAAUUAAAACAUUUAAACUCCUGAACAAAAAAUUAUAUUUACCAAAUUUGUUAUAUGAAAAAAAAAAAAAGUGUUGUGAACUGUUUUUUUAAUUUUUUUAUCUAAUGCAAUUUUCCUAUAACAAAACACCAAAAUAUCUAAUGCAAUUUCCCCUCUCCACCGUCUUUCUUCUCUUCUUCUACAUUUUUUUUAUAAUUUUUUGAAAUCAUCGUCUUUGUUUUCAAUCAAUCAUAAAUUUUAUACCAAAUAUAUCAAAUAUAAAAUAUUUUGAAAAAAAAUCGUUAGGAUAUUGGUACAUGAUCAUGUAGAUUUGAAACGUUACAAAAAAAUUAUUAAAUAUAUUACACCAGUGAGUGACCAAUUAAUUGUGUGUUAACCGAACAUAUUUGGUUUUCUAUUUGUGGGUAAUGUAAACUUUUUUUUUUCUUUUUGAAAUGGUUAAAUAUUCAGUGGAUUUGUUAUAUUUUUUUAAAAGACCUACUUUUAAAAACUAUAUUAAUAUAUAUAUAUAUAUAUAUAUAUAUAUAAUAUAUAUAUAUAUAUAAUAUAUAUAUAUAAUAUAUAUAUAUAUUUAGUUUUCAAAACAUAACUUAGUUUUAUUUAAAACGCUAGCCCGAAAUAGAUAACAUUACAAAGGAACUUAGAAAUAGGACUAGUUUUUAAAAACAAAAAAUAAACUAUUUGAUUUUUAGUUUUUUUUUUUUGUUUUUGUAAAUUAAGUCUAUAAAUAUUCAUUCUACUCCUAAUUUUUUGGAUUUUUAUUAUUCAGAUACUAAAAAAAAAUGUAGUGAUUAUCAAACAUGACCUUAAUAAUUCAAUUUUAGCAUGUAACAGUUCAUAUGUACAUUUUCAAAUUGGUAAAAUUAUCUAAUUAUAUUUUUAAAAUAAUACAAAAAUAUAAUCAAAUUUUUAUUAAUGAAGUUUAGUGGGAUGAAGGUGGUGAUAUAAAAAAGGAAAAGAAAUAAAAAUUUGGAAAACGUAAUUGAAAUGAGUGGUUUUGGAUGUGAGCUAAUAAAUGUAUAUCUAAAAUAGCAUUAUUUGAAAAUUCCAUUAGUUUCUUUACCUUUUCUUUUCUUUUCUUUUGGGGAUUCUCGACUUGUAUCUUUACGCUACAAUAUGAGAAAAUUAGAAUAGCCUUCAACAUUAAAAUAGGAUUCCAUAUGAUGCCUUCUAAUUCAUUUAUUAUUUCCUUUUAAAGCAAACCACAACACAAUCUUACCCCAUCCAAUCAAAACUAAUCUUUUUCCACUCCUUUCCUCCUUUUAUUUUCACCUCUCUUCCAUUACAUGCUUCUUAUGAAAAAUCUUAUAAAGUCCCUCAUCCCACAUAAUUGAAUCAUCGAAAAGGAAGAUACACAUUGUUGGUAUAGGUAGUAGUUUCCACUUCUUAUAAAUCUUUUCUAAUCGUAUUAAAUAAAACUUCUCUUCGGUGUCCCUAAUAUAGUAUUAAUUUAAUACAUUUUAUGUCACAUCUUAUCAUAUCAUUUUAUUGUUAGUUAACUAACGGUCACAAUGGUCUUAUGAAUCAUUUAGAAUCAUUUUCUAAACUUUUUCAAGGCUCAAAUGUUCAUUUUAAAACUUAACGGACCAAAUAGAUAUCGAUUUUAAACAUCAACAAAUAAUUAAAUAUAAAGAGAAUUAUAAAAGUAAUAACUACUCAUUUCUCCAACUCAGCGUUUGUAGUCCAACGGUUAGGAUAAUUGCCUUCCAAGCAAUAGACCCGGGUUCGACUCCCGGCAAACGCAUUUUGCUAUUCAAAACCAAACCAAGAAAACUUAUGAAAUCUUUGUCAAUUUUAUUCUAGUAUAUAUAUAAGAAGAUUUAUAUAAAUAGAUGUCACACUCUUCUCAAAGAAGUGAGGUGUGACGAUGUCAAUUUUUGUUACGAUGUUUCACCUAUUUUUUUUAUAAGUGUGUGGUCGUGUGAUAUUGGCGUGGUUGAAGACAAAGUGUGAAAAAACGUGCAACAAAAUUAUGUGUUGAGAAAAGUCUUUUACGAAGUACUCAGUCUGUGUGAUGUGUGGUAUUGAACAUUUUGUUUAUGACAUUGUGACUGAUUUGUUUGAGAAGAUCCGUGCAAGUUAGGGGAGCCUAAACAUUGAAGAUUGUUUUGAGGAGUCUCUCACAGGGGGAGACUGCAUAUUAAGACGAAAGGUAGAAGCGGAAUUGAUUGUUAACCUUUCUGCUAAGUUUAAUGAUUCUAGUGCCAUAGAAUUUCAGAAGGUCGUGCAUGUGCAUGGGGUUUGCUUUACAAUCUCUUCAUCUCUCCUCAAUUAGUUUAUGGAAUUAUCUGUGUAUGAAGAUCUUGCUGUUACUUAUCAAUCUUUUGAGUAAUUGGUAGUGGAACUCACUAGUGGCAUAGUUCACUCUUGGCCUACAAAUGGUCAACUACCUUCUGUUCGGUUGAGCAUCAAAUAUGUUAUUUUUCAUAAAAUAGCAUCCUAUCAUUCUAUCUACUAUUGAUGUGGCUGGUCCAGCUUCUAAGACUAUGAACUUGAGUUUUCGACUGUUUCAAGAAGCACGAAUCACAUGUUUAUGAUCUACGUCUUUAGAUUUCUGUCUUGCUCCUGGUGGUUCUCGCUCCUCUUUCUUCAUUCUUCCCGCCUCCUUCUGUUGGGUUGUUGCUUUUUGCUCCCAUGAUGUCUCAAGUUCUUCAAGUACUUUUUGAGGAGUCGAGUAGAGUAUUAUGCGGGUUUUAUUUGCUCAUUGCUCUAUGGUGGAGUCAUUACUGACAAGAUCUUCAAAGGAUGAUGUUUUCAGUUACUGUUCCUGCUUCUUAACUUUAUUUUGUCAGCAAGCAAAGGGGAGUGUAUAUGGGUGUUAUGUGAUGUGAUCUUCUUCAACACUCUAUGAAUGAAUAUGAAUUUGCUAUUUUGUUUUGUUGAUGAUUAGCUGGUUUAGAUCUGCUUUGGUCCUCUACGAACAGAUAUGGAUUUGAUGUUUUGCUUUGUUGAUGAUUAGCUUAUUCAGAUCUGGGUAUGAUAUUUUUUUUUGUGACUAAAGUGUUGUGUGGCUAGCUAUUUUUGGUUUGCUUCUCAAUAUAACUUCUGGGUUGUUUCUAGUUUCUCUGUGUUUGGUUCUGCUAGUGAUUAGGUUGUUGGUUUGUUUUGUGCUUGUCUGCUCAAAUAAAGGAAGCUGGUCUCAAGGGGGAGUUUGUUAUUGUUGUGGUCUCACUUCCUUUAUUGUAUUUAUUUAUUAUGUUAUUCUGAAUUUGGUUAUUGAGAUUGGUUGGUUGGUUGUGCUAUCCCUUCAUUCUCGAGUUGUUUGGAUCCCUUCCCAUAGUUACUUCAUAUUAUUAUGUGAAUGUUUUGUUAUGAUUUGUAGAAAAAAAAAAUAAUUUCUUGAAAAGGUGUGGUUGGUGAUAUAUUUCGAUUGAUGAGACGUUUCGAUGUGUCCCUUCUUGACUUAUGAAUUACGAUAUUGCACAUAGAAGAUAGAAAAUUACUGAAAAGUCCAGAAUACUUGAUGAGAAGAUUGCAAGUGGUCUUUGAUAUAUAAUCUCUUACCAUAGAUCUAAAGCCCAUCAGAUGUAGAUAGUGUGUCAUUGAACUGGGUAACAAAAGUUUGAUGUGUUCUAUGUGAUUUUACGUGACUCCGUAACUAAUUCUUAUUUAGUCACAUUGGUAAACAAACAAGAAAGAAAUACACAUAAAUUUAUGAAAUGUUGGUUUAAUUCCAUGGCUUGUCAGCACAGUUGUAAGGUCGGCAAUAUUAAGCAGCAAUGUCUUUGAUUUGAAUUUCAGUGUCAUAAAUCUUUCCAUUUCGAUCACCAAGCAGUAGGAAGAACAUAAUGUGCAUAAAUCCAUCUUUUAUUAUAUAUCCUGAACUUACCAUCAUCCAUAUUUGUAAUGCUCCUCUAGUGCUUUUUCAUUGGACUCCCUCUUGGAAAACCAAAUCUAUAUAUCAAAUAAUAAUUCAAUUCACAUAUGAACAACAAUAUUUAGUAUUUUACAAAAAACAAAAAACAAAAACUAAUUAAUUAGCUGAUCGUUUUGUAUUGAUUUUGAACUGACCUGAGCUAUAUUAACUGCUUGAAUAUCAGUUUGACCACCUUGGUAUAGGAAUUUGAUGGCCAAAUACUAUGGUUUGCUACUCCAUUCUACAACUUGCACCAUCAAAUUUUUGUUUUUGUAAUCACAUGGUAUCCUUCAAAAUAAAAACAAUCCCCAAAAUUUAUAUGAGUUCAUUUAAUUUUGAACUAACUUAAAUAAGGGCCUUCAUAUAUCAAAUGUUAUUUAUAUAUAAUAUUUAUACCUCUUCUAUUUUACAUCCAACGUAUCAAUUUUCAAAAGCCUUCUUCACCAGAAGAAAUUCUGUUUUAUUUUCAUAAUUUUGAUCUGUCAAAACUAAUUUUGUUUUCAAUAAGUUGCUCAAUCUCUUGUUCUUGCAUCUUACCUACGUAAAAGGCAAACAUACUUGUCAUCCUCUAAAUUUUAAAGAGUAUAUAAUGACGUGCAUAAGAGUGAUGUAUAGAUGAUAUGAUGUACAACCACACAACUUUGAGUCAAACUGAUUACAAAAGUAAAUGAUUUAUAAUUUCAUACAUGAUAGUGAUCUAUAAAUAUAGACGAUAGGUACGAAUAUCAUAGUCAAAUGUGGAAAUGUGUGCUUAAAAUAGAUAGAUGUUGCUACAACUAUAUAUUUGAGUAAAAGUAGCUAUACAAGAAAGGAAUGGUGUAUUUUUGCAUGGAAGGGUUUGAUCUAGACCAUAUAUUUAAAUCACCAUGAUAUGUAGACAUAUGUUUGGAUAGAAAGUCUUUUGUAUUAUCAGAUUGUGGAAGCAAAGAGAGGAUAAAAAAUAAAAAAAAGAGACAAUAUAAAUAUAUAUAUAUACCUGAUAGCAUGCACCACAGGCAAUUCCUUGUUUAUAAAGGGAAGGCCCAACAGCUACAUUAAAUCCUUUAGAAAUAUCAAACUCCAAGCUUUCAUAUCCACAUCAUAUACCAUUCAAUAUAUUUCAAUUUAAUUUAAUAAAGUUUUUUUUUGUUUAUGCAAAAAGUUUUUUUUGUUAUGAAUGACAAAAUUAUUAAAAAUAUAUCAAUUAAGAAAUUUAAAACUUUAUUAUAUUUUGUAAAUAUGACACAGGGACCAAAGUUUUUAAAUAAACAAGAGAAUAGUAUGGAACAUUUUAAAUAGAAUAUGAUCAAUGUUGCAAAACGUUGUUCUCUCCGCAUUUUCUUACUUGCUUCCUAUAUUUCUCUUUGUUAUUAUUAUUCGUAAGAAACAACUUUAGACAAUAUCAAUUUUCAUAUUUUGCAAUUUUGUUUUUGUUUUAAAAUAUUUUAGGCCCAUAUUUUGCAAAGAAUCCCAAAACCAUUAUUAUUUUGACACGAGUUAUAUAAUCUUUGUAAGUUCCUUUUUUUGUUAGCAUUUCGAGACACUUGAUGCAUAGGUUUAAAAUGUUAAGCUUGGAGGUGAGGUCGAGAGAUUUAAUUUAGAUAGUAUGAAUUUAAGAAAACUAAGUUUGAAGUGCAAAUUUGAAGGUUUGAAUACGUAGUGACAUGCUUAGAAUACCGAACAAUGUAAUGCAAACUUAUAAGUGUUGAGUUUGUGAAAUAUUUUAUUAUAUUUAAUUAAUGGUUCUAUUUAUGAAUCAUUUGAAUUAAUUUAAGAAGAAAACAUAUAUAUAUAUAUAUAUAUAUAUAUAUAUAUAUAUAUAUAUAUAUAUAUAUAUAUAUAUAUAUAUAUAUAUAUAUAUAAAUACUCAAUUUUAUUUAAAUACUUUUAGUAAAAGGGAGAAACUAAUUUAGUUUAAUUUUUUCUAAAAUUUUUCAAUAGAGUAUAAGAAUUUGAACUUGGAUAAUACAUGCCAGUUAGUAAAGUGUUAUGCUUACAUUAAUAAAAAAUAAUACUACAUAAAAAUUUCUGCAAGAUCAUUAAAUGGAAUAAAAGCUAAAUAAUUCUUUGGUUAAAAAUAUCAUAGGUUGACAUCGAUAUUAAUUCUUUGAUUUUUCAUCUUUUUAGUCCUAUACAUUUAAUUGUCUAAAUUUAACAUCAAAUCAUAAAUUUAAUUAGUCUUUAUGCCAAAGACUUAAAAUAAAGCUAAUUUAUGUUCAUUUUUAUUAAAAAAAAUUGUUACAUGUAAGAAUAAUAAAGAUUUUUUUAAAAAACCAGAACAAAGCGUAAAACUAUUUACACUGUAUAGAACAUUUGUUAAAAAGGAAAAAGUCCACAAGCUCACAACAUGGAAAAAAAAAAGUUCGAAAUUAAUCGAUCACACACGUGAAAAAACAAUUUUGUACCUAGUCUAAACAAUCUUGUAUUUAGUCUAAAUGAUUUUGUAUCCAGUCUAAACGAUAUUAUACUUGUGUAUCCAGUUUAAACGAUGUUGGUGAACGAAGAGAUGAGAGAUGAUGAAAAAAGAAGAAGAAGAAGGACACAAGUAUCAAGAGAAAAAUAUUGACUUUGUGAAAAAAGAUGACAUCCAAGAUGAAAGAUGAUGAAAAAGGAAUAAAUUAUAGACGAAGAGAUGAAGAAAUUAUGGAAGGAAAAAUCUAGAAUUUAUGAAAAAAUUAACGUGUAAUAAUAAUAAUGGUUUGAUUUUAAUUUAAGAAAUGAUAUAAGAUAGUAUGUGAAUAUAUUUUGGAAAAAUAGGAAGGGACUACUAUUACAUUUUAAAGCUUUUUAAAAAUUUGAUAAAUCCAUAAUUUACGACUAAUAGUUCCUUGCAUAUUCAGCGUUUGUAGUCCAACGGUUAGGAUAAUUGCCUUCCAAGCAAUAGACCCGGGUUCGACUCCCGGCAAACGCAUUUUUGACAACUUUGCUUUUUUAGUCCAUUUAAUGUUGAAAUAACUAAAUUUGUAAGGUUAAUUUUCAUAAAUACAACCAAACACCAAAAUAUUUAACUGUUGAAUAAAAUAAAAAAAAUCCAAAUUUUGUAAUACAUAUAUCUUUCCUUUUUAUUUACUUAUGAGUGCUAUUUAAAUGUUAUAUAUAUUUAAAAAUGUGAAAUGAAAAAAAUGCGUGCGUUUGCCGGGAGUCGAACCCGGGUCUAUUGCUAGGAAGGCAAUUAUCCUAACCGUUGGACUACAAACGCCGUUGGUUAGAAUAUUUACAGUGCAAUUGUUUUUUAAGUGUAUUACCGAAGCAAUACAGUGCAAUUUAUAUGUAUAAGGAUUUUUUAAACCCUAAAUAAUUGGAAGAGAAAAAAAAAAGAGAAGAGUUUACGUAUGGAAAUACACGAUUGAUUUGACCAUAAAAAAACAGUUCUUUUCUAACCUUGCUGGUAAGGUGUUUGAAUCUCUGCUGACAUGAUUUUUUAAGCAAACAUUUUUUGGGUAAUAUUGUUAAAACCAAUAAACACAAACGAGCAAAGAUGAUGUGCUUCUACGUCCGGAUGGAAUAUUUUACUUUAAUAAUGUUGUUUAGAAAAAUAAGACGGUUUUCAAACUCAAUACAGUCACUCCCAAACAACUUAAUCACCCAAUCUUUUCUUAGGCUCAUCCCAAGGAAUGGAGACUCUCUUUCAUGUUAACUUAGACUCUCGCUAGGUUGUUGUAUUUGGUAAAGGAUGUCUUAGACUCCUCUUAAGACAAAGAUACUCCCUAUCAAGAAAACAUGAGUUCCUCUUAAGUGGUGUGACAGCUUCUUCUCACUUCAACUGCAUCUUUCCUUCUUAGAACCAAGUCACUUUGUUCAAUUUGCAUAGGCACCUCCUUCACUUGAAAAUCCCUUCUUGGUUAAAAUGCAAUAUAAUUUUAGUGUGAUGAAUAUCUUGGAGUAUAUCUCUUAACAAUAUUGCAAAAUAGCUUUCUUCUUUCCAAUGCUUAUCUCCAAUGGCAACCAAAUACACAACACGAUGAUGGAACAUACAAUAAUCUUCUUCAAACUAAAAGGCGAACCCUAGACAAUUAUAGGACUACAUAUCUUUUAAAUAAACAAAGUGGAUAGACAAAGGAGCAAUAACCCUAACUUUCAAAGCAGUCAUGCAUGCAUAGAAAAUGAAAGAAAUCUGCAUAGAAUACUACUGAUAAGAAAGGAAAGUAUUUUUCAAAAGUCAACAUUUUUAAUUAGAAAGCAUCCACUUGUCAGAAAACCACCAAUGCAGAGACAUCUCACAUAGUAUCUAUAAAACUUAAAACAAAUUAUAUUGUCAAACAUAAGUUUUAACAACGCUAAUUCUGUAAGACCCAUCCUUGGAAAAGUUGGUGCCAAGGAUGAGAACGAUGCAAUACAGGAAGCUAGGUGUCCAAGUGGGGAGUUGUUUAAGUUAGGUGUGAAGGGUUAGACGUUCAAAAGCAAUAAAUAGUUUUGUAGAAUUGGUCGGACGGAUUUUGUCUUCCAAAUUCGUGCCAAAUAAUAAACCGAAUCACACACCAAAAUUUAGUUUUAAUGAGAAGUUUGGAUUGAUCACAGUAAGCACACUGAUUCCUCAAACAAAUGAAUUUUGAACCACGUAACGGGGUUGAGUAGAGAUUGAUUGCAUGAAAGUAAAUAUCAAUUAGGAAAGUAAACUUGUGAAAAUUCAACGACAAAAGGAUCUAACUUGCAUUAUAGCGAUUUCCCCCUUAUUUAAAGAAUUUAUGCAUUGAACUAACUUAAUUUUUGUCCCACUUCCUCGUCUCCCAGCCACGCCAAAUUAUGGAUUACAUAUCACAAAAGGAUAAUAUUAUUGAAAGAAACAUUAGGUAAACAUGUGAGAAUAUUUAUGAUAUAUAGAUAUAGACGAACAUGUAGGAAAAAGAUUCAAAAUGAACACCGUAGGUUUAUGACAUAAAAACAAAGAUUACAUUAUUCUUCUUGCAAAGACCAACAUGCUUCUCUCUGCACCCGAUGAAAAGGAUAAACGUUUUGGAAAGCUAUUAUUUCCACCUGCAAAGGACAAACAUAUUAAUAUCAGCUCUAAGACAGUACCAAGUAUUUUUAGGAUGGUUAUUAUUUACAGUUAAAUCAAUACAUGACAAGACAACAAUAUCUUGAAACAAAAUUAAAGCUGUCUUGCUAAACAAUCAAGGAAACAAAAUUAACAACCUUCUAAUAAUGAAGUACCCAAAAAUAGGAGGAGCUUCUUUAUAUCUUAAAAGGUCACCUUCGUCUCUAACCUUCAAAUAUAAUCUUCCAAAUAGCCUAUUUUGUUCCUUAAACUUUUAAACAUUUUGUUAAGUCCAUAAUCUUGUAUUUCACAUUCAUUUUUCACCAGUCAUCAACAAAAUUAGAAAUCUUUUAAGAACUCAAAACCUAACCUACUAUACGUUGCUUCAAGUACUUGUCUGCUACAAAUAUUCAUAGAUUAGACAAAUAUAGUGAUAGCGAUUUUCUUAAACAAUUUAUCCAAAAGUAAGGACAAGGAAUCAAAUGGCCUUUCAAACCAAGUUUAGGGACUAAAAUAUAGAGUAAACAUAAAAAGUUUGGGGGAUAAAAGAAGAUUUAAACCAUUUUAGAGGUAUUGAAUCAACAUUAAAAAGAGUUCAUGUUCCCCAAUAUCCUCAAAUCCGUAGUACUAUAUCUUCUAACAAAAGAGAAGUUAGAGACAAACACCUCAUAAGUAAACUGUAUAAGCCAUGUCUAUGGUACUAACCUUCCAAAGAACUCCCUUUCCUUUUGAACUCAAGGAGUCUUGUUAAUGAGGAAGCAUUAGAAUGAGAUGACAGAAUUAGAAGAACAGUUUUCUCUAGCAGCAAAACUGAAGGGAUGGAAAGGUAGCCGAUAAACAGGUACCCAAUAAUUCUAUAAAAGCACCCCUCUUAAAAACAAGCUACUUUGGAGGAGAAAAAAAGAAAGAAAAGAGAUAAGAAAACUAAUUGUCCAUGAUUUACAGUUAAUCUGUUUUUUUUUUUUUUACAUGAAAAUGUGUCCUAAAGUGUAUUAUAAUCACUCCACUGAUCAGAUUGCAACCUCAGCAGAGUCCCAUCUACUCUGUAGCUGAAUCACUUACUUCAUAUCCAAUUCCAUCAUUCACUUGAUGAAUGAGACAUUGUGAAAUCAGGAGUUUGAUUCUAGAUAAAUAUUGUCAUAGUCCUAUUCUGAGCUUGGUUAAGCCUUAACUUUAUUUUCUGGUUUUUAAAGAUUAAGUUUGCUUGCCGAUAAAUUGUUGUUUUAAAAAGCCAUCGGAAAGUGAGAAAACAACACAGUGAAGUAAUAAUAGGCAAUAAGCAUUAACAAAAUUAGAGAUCACAAGAAGUUAAAUUUUUCUAAAACUGAAAAGUUAUCUAUUGAAGCAAUAAGCAUUCACUUAACUUCCUGAAUAAAAACUACCUCGUCUGAUCUCUGACUAGGAACUGCAAUUAACAAUGAAAUUCAAUGUACAAAAGACAAUCAUUCUCAAUCAACUCCUUUACAAAUUCCAGCAGAUCUGAUAGUUCACAAUGAAAGAGUUGGCAUCCCAUUGGAUCUAGUGGAGAAAUUUCAUAUUGUCCAACAUCUCAGGAACAAAACAUCUCUUGGUGAAAAAACAAUUCUCCCUUUCAGCCACCAUAGCUUUAUCUAUUGAAAUACAUUGAUAUAUUGGGUCCGAAAAUUGGAGAGUUUGACAUACAUAUUAAAGAUUCAUUAACCAUUAAUUCAUGGACCUAUCUAACAUCUUUUAUAACUACUUGUCAGAAGAAAUACCAUUGAUUCAUCUAUUAAUUUUAGAAGUAAAAACAAGUUAAUUAUUAAUUUAAAUAAUCCUAAUAAUUCUUUUUAUUUACUUACAGAAAUAAAUAAUCGUCAACAAAUUCAUAAAAUCAAUAUCGAUAAUUUGAUUUUGAUAAUUUUGGAUAUAGAUAUCAAUACUGAUAAUUUGGAGAAGCUUUAGGUGACGUCAUUAGAUGGGACAUUCUCAUCGAUCAUAGGACAAUUAUUUUAGUCAACCAAAACUCAAAUCACAUCACAGAACCCAAAUCUCAGAACAAGCAUACUACUAGUACUGACUGUCACUAUUUCAUAUUUCAGAUCCAUGAAUCACAAACAGACUGAUAAACAGAAAUAAAACUGGAAAUUCAAAAUCAAGAGUUUGCAUCUAAAACAGAACAAGCAAAUAAUCAGUCUCCAAAACAGUAAAUUUCAAGAAGAUGAGAUCAAAACUACCUCACAUUGCCUCUGUUUUCCCUUCUAGGCAAGCUUUCCUUCUGCAUGUAGGAAUGGACUCAAACAUGCUGACCGGCAAAAUCUCAGACAAGAACCCAACCGCAAACUCGAUGGAUUUAGAGUCUGGAGUAACCUUGAUUCCAGUAAUAGGAAGCCAGGCGAAGAGCUUCUUGACUUCAAUCCCAGAAACAUCGCUCAAUGACCUAUUGCUCAAUUUCCCCUUGAUAUUCUUUCCGUAAUAGACCAGAUCAGAGAAAUGGACAUAGCAACUGCUUUGGAGUUGGAUUUCGAAGGUACCAUCGUCUGAGAGAGUGUAGGAGUUGACAUUGUCGGGUAAGAGACCGACUGGAAAACCGUAAAGGGGAAGAAGAUCGUGGAUAUCAGAUGACCUGAGGGGAAAAUCCCUUGCGGAAAAGGAGAGGUGGGUUUGAGUGGAAAAGAGGAGAAUCAGAAGAAAGAGAGAGAAUGGGGAGAGGAUUGUGGAGAAGGAAGCCAUUGAUGGAGUCUUGAGGAAGAAAAUGGGGAGAAAAUUGGUUGCCGCUUACUUGGUUGAAACAUGUUUAAAUAGAUGCCAACAGGUGAUAAAAUAUUUCUUCCUAUUGUCUCUCAAUAAUUCAUUACAUUGAAUGAGUUUUUAAUUGAUGAAGAUUAUCUCGUAACUAAGUCGUAAUAAAAUAACAAAAACGAUCUUCUUACAAGAGCCCAUGUGAGAACCAAUCACUCUGUGCCCCCAAAUAUCAACUCUUCCAUUUCCACCCAUUACCUCUUUUAAUUAUCUAAUCUUGUUUAAGCCAUUGACUUGGGUACGCUUUCUAUUUUAAAUGCUAUUUCUCACUCCCUCCUUUCUCACAUCUCACCAUUCCUCACUCCCCAUCUCUCAUUCCCUCUGCUUUCUUUGUGUUUCCUUCUCCAAAUACCUCGUCUCUCUCUCUUCUUCCUUCUACUUUCUCUUCCCAUUCUCUCUUCCCCAUUGUUUUAAUAUAAUAUAUAGGUUAAAAUAUAUUAUAAUAAGAUAUACUAUAAUAGUCUGCACUCCAAACACCGACUAUAAUAUUUCAUACUAUAACAUUCUGCACCCCCAAACGCAAAUUAUUAUAAUACCCACAAUUUACGCAUUCCAUUUUUCCUGUUUUUGAACUCUUUUUUCUACUUUAUAAUAGUUCUAUUAGCAUGUGACUAACAUUUGUUUCCUCAUAAAAUAUCUUAUACCAAUUUUUAAAUAUACUUAAUAUGUAAUAUAUAUGUCCAUACUCUUAGAAAGAUCUAGGAAGAUGCAAAAUAUUAGAGAAAAGUUUUUCCUCAAAUCAUGUUACAAUAGAGUGGGGGGAAACAAUUUUUGAAAGCUCCAAAGCAACCCAAAGGGGAUUGUGAUCCAUAUUAAUAUACAUUACACAAAUUACAAUUCAUAUAUAAACCCUUCUAGUGGAAUUUAAGGCUGGUCAAAACAUUGUUGUUGACAGGGUCAGACAAAUGAUCCAAAAGGUUUUGGUAAGGUCCAACACCAGUAACAAGACCUUGUAUAAAGUAACCCAAAAUUGCCAACAUUGCAAGCCUUCCAUUCUUAAUUUCCUUCAACUUCAAUUCCUUCAUUGACUUCUCAUCUUUCCCAAACCCUAGUGGGUUGAACAAUGGCCCGCCAGGGUAAGCUGGGUCCCCUGAUCCACCCAAGAACUUCUCCAGGCCCAAAAAGUAUUGUUUUCCCAUGGAUCCUGGCUUGGCCCAAUCUUGAAAUCUUCUGUGUUCAGCAAAGCCCAUCAGAGCCAUUUCAAAUACAAAGAGUGUGUAAGGGUCUGCCCAAUAGUUGUAGGUCCCUGCUGGUGGGAUGACCCCUGUUUUGAACCAUGGGAGGGCUGUUUCUGGUGGGAUUAACCCCAGUGAUCCAAAGAUUUCUGGGGCUAUGGCUCCUGCUGCUCCCAACAUUGCAAACCUUCCGUUGAUCACUUCGCCGUAUGCCAACCAUCUUGGCUCGAUGAACCCUCCUGUGCCUUCGGGAUCAGAUAGCCCCAGUGGGUCAAACCCGAAAUCGCCUGGCAGACUAA